GGCGAUCAGAUACCGCCCUAGUUCUAACCGUAAACGAUGACAACCAGCGAUUAAUCGGCGUUAAUAUACGACCCGAUUAGCAGCUUCCGGGAAACCAAAGUUUUUCGUUUCCGGGGGAAGUAUGGUUGCAAAGCUGAAACUUAAAGGAAUUGACGGAAGGGCACCACCAGGAGUGGAGCCUGCGGCUUAAUUUGACUCAACACGGGAAAACUCACCCGGCCCGGACACUGUAAGGAUUGACAGACUGAGAGCUCUUUCUUAAUUCAGUGGGUGGUGGUGCAUGGCCGUUCUUAGUUGGUGGAGCGAUUUGUCUGGUUAAUUCCGAUAACGAACGAGACUCUGGCCUAUUAAAUAGACGAGGUAUUUAAAUGUACCUCGCGCUUCUUAGAGGGACAAGCGGCGUCUAGUCGCAUGAAAAAGAGCAAUAACAGGUCUGUGAUGCCCUUAGAUGUCCGGGGCUGCACGCGCGCUACACUGAAAGAAUCAGCGUGCAUUUAAACCUAGUCCGGAAGGACCGGGUAACCCAAGUAAAUUCUUUCGUGCUUGGGAUAGGGAAUUGCAAUUAUUUCCCUUAAACGAGGAAUUCCCAGUAAAUGCGGGUCAUAAGCUCGCGUUGAUUACGUCCCUGCCCUUUGUA
rnacentral:rRNA from 4 species